UCUCCUUCAGAAGAAUCGGGUUGUUAUUGGAGGACCAGGAAGCUUUUAUUGGCAAGGUCAGCUGAUCUCAGAUGACAUCACUGAGGUCAUCAGCAGAUACAGUAAGGAGUUUUUUACUCCUUACAGUAACCAGUUAUCAACCAAGUCAGCCGGGGCUCAGUAUGAUGACAGUUAUUUGGGUUACUCUGUGGCCAUUGGUGAUUUUAACGAUGAUGGUGAAGAUGGUAAGAUAUUUAAUCAUUUUGAU